GAAAACAUUUCCACAGCCCUUAUCCUUUGCAUUAGAUGCUGAACUCCUGGCACUUUUUAAUACUUUUAUGACAAAAUUUUUAGUAAUCUUUGCUUCAUUGGUAGCUGGCUAGAGAAGUAAAUUUGCUGUCUUCUGUAUUUUUCUGAAGAGCGAAAGAGUCGUAACAAAUACUCUUUCAAAAUAUCUCCUUUCACUGAGUAACUAAAAGGCUGCUUCUAUUUUUCUUCUUCAUAUUGGAAACAAGAAAAUAGGUACAGCUCAGGUGGAGGUUUUCCCAGCACUGUUUCUUAUCUUGGACAUCUGGUUCGUCAUGCCUGAAGGAAACUCUAAGCAUAAGGCAAGCGCAGAAUGAUGUUUCCACUGAAAUUGAAUUCAGCAUCUAGGAAACUAUAUGAUGUGGGCACUUUCUGAGCAGGUGGUUAGCUUAUCCUUCAGAUUGUUCAAUGCCCAACAGAAACAGAUGUGAUCCACAAGGAUUCCUGCCAGUACCGAUAGCCCAACUCUUGGACACAUGAGCAUCUACAUGACGCACCUUUACAAACACAUUCUUUAUUCGGGCAGCAGCAAUGAGGAACAGCAGAGUGGAAGUGCCAAUUUAAAUCUACGUGAAAGCAAAGAGGAAAGGAAUGCAGCAGCAAGUACUAACCCAGUCCUGAACUCCCCUGGGAACCUGUGGGAACACAAAGCUGGAACCUCCCAUCCUGUCAGUGAUAACUACACCUUGUCUGUGCAAAUGCUGACUCUGAUUAUCUGUGUUGCAUGAUCUGUAUUCCAUAAUAAAGUAAUGUGCUAUGAUACAUUAAGUAAUAAUGUUUAAUUAGUAAUAAUUAAUGCAAGUUAAGUGAUUCAUAAAAUUGGCUUAAAAAAAAUCUCCCAUUAUAAAUUUUGAGGGGUACACACAUCUAUGCUUUAAGGACAGCAUUUUUUUUUUCUUAAUCCAAAGAUUGGUUAAUACAAACUGAAUACCGGUAUUACCAUAUUAGUAUGUCAGCUAUGUUAUGAGGAUAAACAGAAUGAAGUAGGUAAAAAAAAAAAAAGUUCAAAUAUUCAGACUUAAUUAUCUGAAGGGUUUUGCUCUUUUACAGGGGUUUGUGUUGUUGAUUAUCUUAAAGAGAACAAAGUACUAUGAAGCUAGUGAAGUUUUUGUUGACCUCAAACUGUUUGACUAUGUUGUCUUUUGUAAAAGGACUAAGCAUAACAUAUUACAAAGCAUCUAACUAGACUUUCAUUAUUACUGAUUUUUUUAGUGUUUACUGACUAAAGCAGGCAGCAAAGCCACUCAUAUUCUGAGAAAAUGUGAAAAUACUGGUUGAGAAAAUGAUUGCAUAAAUGAAUGUACACCAUGUAAAAGAAGAAUGCAUUUACUUCAUCUCAGAUUUUUAUUUAUUGAUUGAUUGAUUGAUUGUAUGUAGUCCUCUCUGAACAAAGCCUGCAUUUUUCAGGAAACAGGUAGGCAACCUCUAGCUAUAAAUAUUGCUUUGUUAUUGUUAUAUGUGCAUUUAUAGAAAGAAACAAGCUACAAAUGAAUAACUACACAUGGAAAGAUAUCUAUAUAUAUAUUUGUCAGAAGAUGCUGUUAAUUGCUUUAGCUAACCCUGAUUUUAUACUGAGAUUUGUAGAAAGUAUUGUUUCAUAAAAGCAAAGAAACUGAGAAAGAAAUCAAGCUUCUAAGGCUUGAAUAUGAAGUCAUUUGCUUGUUAAGAUUAUGAGGCCAUAAAGUUUAGGUGCCAGGAAAGAAAUUGACCUAAUUAUAAAUGAAGGGAGAAUUCUUAAUAUAAAUGUCACAUGCUUCAUAUAAAUGCAUAUAUAUCUAUGUGUAUAUAUGUAUGUAUAUAUAUUUGUAUAUAUUGACCCUUUCAGGAAGUUGACACCUAAUGAACACAUAUAACAAUAGCUUAGCUAACAACAAAGUCAUUAGUUUUUAUUUUUAUUAGAAACUCAGAAACAUCCAUUUCCAUAUGUAAUUUUUCUGCAGGGAACAUCAUGAGGUAUUUGACCUGGAGAAGGUAUCCUUCAGAGUUCAACUUUUAAUAUUGGUCUAGACUGAGCAGGCAAAGAAUAGGUGCUUUUUUUAUUAUACCUGGUGAAUAAACAUAGACAAUCUGUGUUAAAAAUAUACAAGAAAUGUUUUGUUAAAUCAGAUUCGAUUCAGAUACUUGGAAUAAAUUUUUUUCCUAGAUUUUAUGGUGUUACCAUACCCAAACAUGACCUUCUC
ensembl:lncRNA